UACAGAGGAGCCAAGCGUUGUCCGGAUUGACUGGGCGUAAAGCGCACGCAGGCGGUUGCGCGCGUGGGGUGUGAAAUCUGGCCGCUUAACGGCCAGGCGCCAUCCCAUACGGCGCGACUGGAGUGAUGCAGAGGUCGAUGGAAUUGCCGGUGUAGUGGUGAAAUGCGUAGAGAUCGGCAGGAACACCCCAGGGGGGAAACCAGUCGACUGGGCAUCUACUGACGCUGAGGUGCGAGAGCGUGGGGAGCGAACAGG
rnacentral:rRNA from 1 species